rnacentral:rRNA from 1 species
CGGCCUGUUAAGUCAGAUGUGAAAGACCCGGGGCGUUAACCUCGGAAAUUGCAUUUGAAACUGGCAGGCUAGAGUCUUGUAGAGGGGGGUAGGAAGUUUCAGGUGUAGCGGUGAAAUGCGUAGAGAUCUGAAGGAAUACCAGUGGCGAAGGCGGCCCCCUCGGACAAAGACUGACGCUCAGAUGCGAAAGCGUGGGGAGCAAACAGGAUUAGAUACCCUGGUAG